rnacentral:rRNA from 1 species
GGAGUUAGCCGGUGCUUCUUCUGCGAGUAACGUCACAGAUGUAAGGUAUUAACUUACACCCUUUCCUCCUCGCUGAAAGUGCUUUACAACCCGAAGGCCUUCUUCACACACGCGGCAUGGCUGCAUCAGGGUUUCCCCCAUUGUGCAAUAUUCCCCACUGCUGCCUCCCGUAGGAGUCUGGGCCGUGUCUCAGUCCCAGUGUGGCUGAUCAUCCUCUCAGACCAGCUAGGGAUCGUCGCCUAGGUGAGCCUUUACCUCACCUACUAGCUAAUCCCACCUGGGCUUAUCCAUCAGCGCAAGGCCCGAAGGUCCCCUGCUUUCCCCCGUAGGGCGUAUGCGGUAUUAGCAGUCGUUUCCAACUGUUAUCCCCACAAAUGGGCAAAUUCCCAGGCAUUACUCACCCGUCCGCCGCUCGUCAUCUUCAAAGCAAGCUUUUGAAAUGUUACCGCUCGACUUGCAUGUGUUAGGCCUGCCGCCAGCGUUCAAUCUGAGCCAUGAUCAAACUCUGA